AUAACCCGGCGAAAGCCGGACUAAUACCGCAUACGACCUACGGGUGAAAGCAGGGGACCGCAAGACCUUGCGCUAUUGGAGCGGCCGAUGUCAGAUUAGCUUGUUGGCGGGGUAAAAGCCCACCAAGGCGACGAUCUGUAGCUGGUCUGAGAGGACGACCAGCCACACUGGGACUGAGACACGGCCCAGACUCCUACGGGAGGCAGCAGUGGGGAAUUUUGGACAAUGGGCGCAAGCCUGAUCCAGCCAUGCCGCGUGCGGGAAGAAGGCCUUCGGGUUGUAAACCGCUUUUGUCAGGGAAGAAACGCUCCGGGUUAAUACCCUGGAGUAAUGACGGUACCUAAAGAAUAAGCACCGGCUAACUACGUGCCAGCAGCCGCGGUAAUACGUAGGGUGCAAGCGUUAAUCGNAAUUACUGGGCGUAAAGCGUGCGCAGGCGGCUUUGCAAGACAGAUGUGAAAUCCCCGGGCUUAACCUGGGAACUGCAUUUGUGACUGCAU
rnacentral:rRNA from 1 species